rnacentral:ncRNA from 1 species
UACCUGGUUGAUCCUGCCAGUAGUCAUAUGCUUGUCUCAAAGAUUAAGCCAUGCAAGUCUAAGUACGAGCUCUCGUACAGUGAAACUGCGAAUGGCUCAUUAAAUCAGUUAUGGUUCAUUUGAUCGUACAGUUUACUUGGAUAACUGUGGUAAUUCUAGAGCUAAUACAUGCGAGAAGCGCCGACCUCGCGGGAGGCGUGCAUUUAUCAGACCAAAAACCGGCCGCGUCUUCGGGCGCGUUCGCCUUGGUGACUCUGGAUAACUUUGCGGAUCGCACGGUCUAGCACCGGCGACGGAUCAUUCAAGUGUCUGCCCUAUCAACUUUCGUCGGUACGGUAUUUGCCUACCGAGGUUCUUAC